rnacentral:rRNA from 1 species
UAAUACGUAGGGGGCAAGCGUUGUCCGGAAUGAUUGGGCGUAAAGGGCGCGUAGGCGGCCUGGUAAGUCUGGAGUGAAAGUCCUGCUUUUAAGGUGGGAAUUGCUUUGGAUACUGUCGGGCUUGAGUGCAGGAGAGGUAAGUGGAAUUCCCGGUGUAGCGGUGAAAUGCGUAGAGAUCGGGAGGAACACCAGUGGCGAAGGCGACUUACUGGACUGUAACUGACGCUGAGGCGCGAAAGUGUGGGGAGCAAACAGG